rnacentral:misc_RNA from 1 species
GGAAGUAAAAAUCGUAACAAGGUUUCCGUAGGUGAACCUGCGGAAGGAUCAUUAAAGAGAAUAUGCCCUUCGGGGUAGAUCUCCCACCCUUUGUUUAUAUUACCUUUGUUGCUUUGGCAGGCCCGUCUUCGGACCACCGGCUUCGGCUGGUCAGUGCUUGCCAGAGGACCCAAAACUCUUAUUAUUAAUGUCGUCUGAGUACUAUAUAAUAGUUAAAACUUUCAACAACGGAUCUCUUGGUUCUG